rnacentral:ncRNA from 1 species
UAUGUAGAGGUGCAGGCAUUAUCAGUAGCUUUUUUGAGCGGAUAGCGGAGAGAAAAUGCGAAAGGAAUGUUUGCCGAAAUCGAUAAAGGGUCGUCUUUAUCGGUUGGGGGCGUUAUCGAACAGGUACGUCACUGUCAUAGUUUUAUUAACGGUUAUCGCAACGGUUAGUAAGAAUUAUGGAGCGCUACGGGU